GAUGAACGCUAGCUACAGGCUUAACACAUGCAAGUCGAGGGGCAGCGGGAAUCUAGCUUGCUAGAUUUGCCGGCGACCGGCGCACGGGUGAGUAACACGUAUCCAACCUGGCCCAUACUCGGGUAUAGCCUCUCGAAAGGGAGAUUAAUCCCCGAUGUUGUCGUUGUUCCGCAUGGUACAUCGACCAAAGAUUUAUCGGCAAAGGAUGGGCCUGCGUCUGAUUAGCUAGUUGGUGGGGUAACGGCCUACCAAGGCGACGAUCAGUAGCCGACCUGAGAGGGUGAUCGGCCACAUUGGAACUGAGACACGGUCCAAACUCCUACGGGAGGCAGCAGUGGGGAAUAUUGCACAAUGGGCGAAAGCCUGAUGCAGCAACGCCGCGUGAAGGAAGAAGGUCUUCGGGAUUGUAAACCUCUGUUUUUAGUGUAAGAAAAAAUGACGGUAGCUAAAGAGGAAGCCACGGCUAACUACGUG
rnacentral:rRNA from 1 species